UAUCAUACUUGGCUCUGCAAUGGCCUUUAAAUGUCAUUUGUUGUCUAAUGCACGCGCGCACACACACACACGCUGCUGUUCACCUUGGUAUUAUCAACAGUACAGUAUUACAUUAUGUUACAGUAUUUUGCACUACGAUUAUUGGCAUCUUCACCCUGGUCACCGUUCGCAUUGUGUCCAAGCUGGAAUACACCAGUCCAGAACCAAAGCCUGUUACACUCAGUACCUUAUAGAUAUUUUUCAGAGAUGACUGGUGUAGGGAUUUUCCAGUCCAUGUCUCAGCUGGAAGACAGUGGAUAUCAAAGCAGGCCAAUAUGGGGGGCGAGGCAGCAAGAAAAUAAUAGACUUUGUCAGAGAAUUGGAAGUCUCUGCUUAGCCCUGCCUUACUGCUGACAGACGGUCAGGAUUUGCAGGUGUUGAGGCUGCAGCAAGUCUUAAGGAGGGAUUUAGAGGAGGAUGAGGAAACAGCUCCAUGAAUUUUGAAAGGGGGUGGAUUUUGUCUGUGUGCAGCGAGCGGCAUGAAGAGAGAGCAGGGGUAUUAGGGAGAGCGAAGAGAAGGGGUGCCUGAGGCUGGUGUUACGGGCAGUGGACAGGCAGGAGCAGCUCACUAAAUACAGGCAUGGGAAGAGGGAGACCAAAGUGGCACAGGCUCUUACAGGCAAUGAGUUGGGUGUUUGCCACCACAGACACGCAAGCACGUGCUUCCAUCGGACUGUAGGAAAUGGUGUCAGCAGUGAUAUUUUGAAUGGGAAUAUGGCCUAAUGUCAAAGGGUCCUGCUGUGGCUGAGCCUCUGCCAGGGAUGGCUGACACAUCCCCUCAGCUUCAGAAUCAGUUCUGGUUUCCAUCUCUGCUAACAGAAAAAUUACCCAAACUGCCCUUUGGGCACAAAUACAGAGGUGGUGUCAUGGUGACCGAAGUCCAACUGCCUCUGCAGCACCGCACACAGAUUGCCACUCAGGUCUAUGAAAUGCCUGCGUGGAUCUGUGCAGGAGAGCCUCAUCCUUCUGUGCCUGCCCCAAGUUGUAGAGGAAUGAAGCUGGUCGAAAGCUAUGGUGGAGAAAAUGAAAACACCUCAUGUUGCCCAUCAGCUCGCAACACACCCCCAGGUCCUUCAUCCACUUCUCCCUCCAGAAGAAAGCCACAGAUGGAAGCAGCUGUGGGCCACCACUGCUCUGGCGCUGAGAUUGAGCCAGCAAAGGAGAACAACAAUAACUCUAAAAUGAAACUGUCUCUUCAGAGAUGGCAGGCUCUGGGGAUAACAGUUCAGUUGUCAGAAACGUAACACACACACACCGGGCCAGUCAAAUCCACUGUUGAAAUCUUAUCAGAGCUAUUGCUCGUCACCAUAGUGUUUUCAACCACCUCAGGUGGACUGAGAUCUUUGGAGGAGUAAUUAGAUAUGCAGCGCCUGGCACAACAGAAAUGGAGCAAAACGAAUCAUUAGGUGUCAGAUAAGCAUGAAGAGCUGUUUGUAUUUUGAACACAAUCCAAUUAAUAAUGGGAUAUAACUAAUGGCAGUACAGAACCAAUAGCUGGGAUAAAGCUGAUUUAAUUAAUUAUAGAGGUGACCUGUUCCCCUCCCCCUAAUCUUCCACCCUUCGGCAUAAAACAUGUCUUAUGACCCCAUGGCCCUCCUCCAUUUGGCUAGAUGCAUUCAAACUAAAGCUGAACAAAAUUUUUGUUUGAAGAGAUUUCUCAAAACAUUGUCUGCUUUCUCAUUAUAGAAAUAAACAUCUGAAGGGACGUG